GCAAACGCAAACUCCCGAUUUUUUGACAGCUUUCGCGUCGUCCAUCGUAAUCUUCGCGUUCGCGUGCUUCCGCCCAAACGUCAACCAUCGGAGUUGUCUUCCUUUCCGUCACUUUAGUUUGAAUAAAGUAGACACAUUUUGUCAAGCUAACUCGCCCAAGAUGGUCCAGCGAUUGACUCUGAGAAGACGUCUGUCUUACAACACCAAGUCCAACAAGCGACGUGUUGUCCGCACGCCCGGUGGCCGUCUGGUGUACCUGUACGUCAAGAAGCAGCGCACCGUGCCAAAAAUGCGGCCAGUGCAAGGAGAAGCUGAGCGGAAUCAAGCCAUCCCGGCCGAGCGAGCGCCCACGUAUGUGCCGCCGUCUGAAGACCGUGACCCGAACCUUCGGUGGUGUCCUCUGCCAUCGUUGUCUCCGUGAACGCAUCGUCCGUGCAUUCCUGAUCGUAUGACAGAAGGCGUCAAGGUGCUGAAGGCCCAACAGCUCGGCAAGCCCAUCAGCAAGCCACCGAAGAUCCAGAAGACCCCGGCCAAGGCCGCCAGCAAGAGCAAGUAAGGCGCUUGUGACCGUGGUUCGAGUGUGGAAGCCAAGGGGGAAGCAGGAGGAGGUGUACUAUAUAAGAACAUGCUAAUGGAAAAAAGAAUAAAUCCGGUUAAAAAAAAUUUACGGAA